UCGUGUUGCUCAUAUAAUAUUUAAUAAGGGAUCCACUCAAUGCCUUUUUCUCCUCAUCUGCCUCAUUCUUUUUUUUCUUUUAUGACUUCCAGAUGGAUACUUUCUAGCCGAUGACCUUGCUGAAAUUGAAAAGAACAAUUAGAUUUUAAAUUAGCACACAGCUAAUUAGAAUAUUAGAUUAAUUAUAGAUCUUCAUAUAAUAUAAGGAUAAAAUCUGGUACCUCCUCUCUGUAAUCUAGUCUAGCUAUGUGGUCUCAACAAUUUAAUCACCCAGCCAGCAAUUUCCUAUUCACCUGUUGAUUUGGAGAAUCGGGAUUAGAAUAAAAAACAGGAAGAAGAACGUGAGAUUGAGAACAUGAGGGCAGCCGGAGCCGGCAGCCGGACAUGAGGUGAGAACGGCGGACAAACGUGAGGUGAGAACGUGAACGCAGCGAUGCACAGUACCUGUUGCAGUCGGCGUUCGUCACGAAGCCACGCACUCAGAGGCAGAGCGCAGCUAAACAGAGUAGAAGGUGGCGUUAGUCGAG
rnacentral:lncRNA from 1 species